CAUGCAGUCGAGCGACGCAUACCGGAGGGGUAACCCACUGGUAUGACGGAGCGGCGAACGGGUGAGUAACACGUGAGUAACCUGCCCCACAGACCGGGACAGCCCAGGGAAACCUGGAUUAAUACCGGAUAUCCUCGAAGGAUCGCAUGAUCUUCCGAGGAAAUGCUUUUGUGCUGUGGGAUGGGCUCGCGACUUAUCAGCUAGUUGGUGGGGUAACGGCCUACCAAGGCGUCGACGAGUAGCUGGUCUGAGAGGACGAUCAGCCACACUGGGACUGAGACACGGCCCAGACUCCUACGGGAGGCAGCAGCAGGGAAUCUUGCGCAAUGGGCGAAAGCCUGACGCAGCAACGCCGCGUGGGGGAUGAAGGCCUUCGGGUUGUAAACCCCUUUCAGGAGGGAAGAAAUUGACGGUACCUCCAAAAGAAGCACCGGCCAACUACGUGCCAGCAGCCGCGGUAAUACGUAGGGUGCGAGCGUUAUCCGGAAUCAUUGGGCGUAAAGAGCUCGUAGGCGGUUCAGUAAGUCGGCUGUGAAAUUUCGAGGCUCAACCUCGAAACUGCAGUCGAAACUGCUGUGACUCGAGUCCGGUAGAGGAGAAUGGAAUUCCCGGUGUAG
rnacentral:rRNA from 1 species